CCAGUGGAAAUAGAUGUAAACUUCACACACUUUUCCACUGUGACAAGUUUACAUGCAUUGUACAUGUUCCAUAAUUUUGUUCUGCAAUUUUUACAAAAUUAUGUACCUUUUUAUAAUAUUCAUUAAAUUGACAAGGUCUGUUGAACAGUCUACUAGCCUUGAUGUCCUGCAACAGCUGUUUUUGUUUCAUACAAUUUAUGUAAAAAAAAUCAUGUAUACAAAUCAUUCUAAUUAUCAGAGAUCCUUUGAUAAAUGAGACUGAUGGCAGUGUUCAGAACAUGAGUGUUGGAGACCUUGAUCCAGUCGAGCUCACAGUUAAUGAGACCCAGACUCAAGAGUGUCCUUUAAAGAUACACAGUUUCAACAAUCUAGCUCCUUUAAUAAAUAUGGCUGGAGGCAGUGGUGGUCAGAACAUUAGUGAUGAAAAUGUUGAUCCAGUCAAGCUUCCAAUUAAUGAGACCAAGAACAUACACAGUUCAAACAGCAAACAUUCUCUUGAUACAACUGAGUGGAAGCAGAUUUCAGAAUGUCAGUGUUGAAAGUGCCAAUCUCCCAAUAAAUGAGACGCAGACUAACAAGCCACACAGUUCAAACAAUCAGUCACCUCCAGUUGUUCCAGCAUUGGCUAGUCAUGAAAAUG
rnacentral:lncRNA from 1 species